rnacentral:rRNA from 1 species
CCUACGGGGGGCAGCAGUGGGGAAUAUUGGGCAAUGGACGCAAGUCUGACCCAGCAACGCCGCGUGAAGGAAGAAGGCUUUCGGGUUGUAAAGCUCUUUUAAGGGGGAAGAGCAGAAGAGGGUACCACUAGAAUAAGCCACGGCUAACUACGGGCCAGCAGCCGCGGGAAUACGUAGGUGGCAAGCGUGGUCCGGAUUUACUGGGUGGAAAGGGCGUGAAGCCGGAGAGACAAGUCAGAUGUGAAAUCCACGGGCUCAACCCGUGAACUGCAUUUGAAACUGUUUCCCUUGAGUGUCGGAGAGGUAAUCGGAAUUCCUUGUGUAGCGGUGAAAUGCGUAGAUAUAAGGAAGAACACCAGUGGCGAAGGCGGAUUACUGGACGAUAACUGACGGUGAGGCGCGAAAGCGUGGGGAGCAAACAGGAUUAGAUACCCCUGUAGUC